UGUAAAACCAAACAUACAAACAAAUGAACUAAUAAAGAUAAAAAAAACAUAUCCAAUCUGUUGACAUCAAAUAUGUAAAAAAUAAGAUAUAUUUAAAUAAUUCUUUAUGCUUACAGCAGUUGAUAGUGAAGACAUUACAUUCAAUUUAAGCAGAGAGUUGUUACAAGACAGUGGAUUGAUCAAGACAAGAGAAAGUCUGGUGUAGACAGGAGCAAUAGUACCACACCUACAAAGUCAGAUAUUAUAUCCUCGAUUAAAGAUACUUCAUUAUAUGAAGACACACAAUAUGUUGCUCUGUACCCAUUUGUAGCCCGUGUAGAUACAGAGCUUACUACAUGUAUAUACAAAGGGGACAUAAUCCUGUGUAAAGAGUGUGGCGAUAAAGAUGGUUGGAUGAGAGGUAUAAAUGACAGCACGAAGCUCGAAGGAUGGGUACCAGCUACAUACGUUAAAAAGGUGAGA